GCCUUUUCCGUUGCGCCAACGUGCAACCAGCCAAUCCGAGAUGGCUAGGGGCGGGCGCCAGAGCUUUUGUCCAAUAGGCUCCCAGACUCGAGCCGAAGAGACCGCGCCGCCAUCCAAUGACAGGCACUCAGGACCGGUCUGGUUCUAUAGCUGCCGUAGGGGCGCACAACUAUCCGCACAGUACAGGCACCGUCUCUUCCUUUGUGCUAAGACCCUUCAUUCCCGGGUGCCAGAAGGAAUGAAAAGACUGAGGUUGGUCUCCAUGGCAACUGACGGGAGGAGGUGGAUUCUAAAUCCUUUUCCUACCCCUACCUCUGUCUGACGGAGGCAGUGUGAAGGCCUGGUGUUGGGUGCGUUUUUUUGUUGUUGUUUUUUGGUUUUUUUUUUUUUUAAUGUGUUUGAGCAUUUUUCAUGUAUGUAUGUCUGUGACCCAGGUGCAUUCCUGAUGCUCACUGAGGGCAGAAGAAACCCAAGGAGUCCCCAUAUGGAUCCCAGUCCUCUGCAAGAACAGCAAAUACUCUUAAUCACUGAAACAUAGCUCCAGACCCCUGGGUUGGCUUUUUACAGAAGACAGGUUUUGUGUUGUUUUCGCUUUUAAAUUGUUUGCCCUUUUUCAACAUCUUCUGGUUACCCUGACUCUGGAUAUCCCACCCAGCUGUACUCCUGAAACAUCCCCCUCAGUCCCUCAAUUUUAAGUGACUGAGGCUUAAGUGCGAGAGGUCUUUCUCACAAUUUCCCAAGUACCUUCUUUGAAGGAGAUAAUGUCCCUUGAAUGACAGUUCCGGGCUGAGCUUUUGCGUCUGCUGACUAACACUCCCAUACUCACUCCAAACUAGUACCCCACAAUGUAGGAUUAACUCUGGAAACCUAUUUCCUAACUUGAAAUUCCAGCUUCUGCAGGAAGGCACACAUAUACAUAUUCCCAUCCCCAGCCCCCUCCUCUGGAUCUAACAAAAAAUCGAGAAUGCCCGUGGCAAAGCUGGAAAACCCGAUCAAUACUUCAGAGUACUGACUGCUCUUCGGAAGACCAGGAUUCAAUUCCUAGCUCCCACAUGGCUCCCAACCACUGUAAUUCAGGGCAUUCCACUCUCCUGGUCUCCCUGCAGUGCCAGGCAGCCACAUGCUGAAGUAAGAAUGAAUGCUGCCAACCUCUCCUGCUGUCUCUGUCCCAUGUGCAGCCACUAUGCCAACCCAAAGCCCUGGGCUGGGGCCCGAGAAGAGCUCCAGCCUCUCCUGCUGUCUCUGUCCCAUGUGCAGCCACUAUGCCAACCCAAAGCCCUGGGCUGGGGCCUGAGAAGAGCUCCUUUUAGACUUUAAGCUAAAAUCUUCAGACAUCACUGGGAUUCUGAAUUCUGUGCAAACAAUAAAAACAAGAUAUAGAUGAGAAAAAGUGAGAGCCAUCAAAGCCCUACUGCUGAACUCAGCGCACCCCCCUCCUCUGGGCUGGUCAUCCAGCUGGUGUACAUUGGACCUACAAGCCUGAAGUGCUUGCUACCCCGGGGAAACUGUUCUUGCUCCUGGUGUUAUCUGCAGACUGCGUAGCUGACUUUUACCCCCAUGCCUGGCAACUGAACACACCUCCCCUUUUGCUGAUAAGAUCAAAGCCUCCUUAGCUAUUCCGCUUACUUUUGUAGCUCCUGCUCCUUCUCCCUCAGCCAAAAUUGAAGCCAAGGAAUCCGAGGAGUCAGACAUGAAUAAGGUUACAAAACCUUAGCCAACCCAGCCAGCUUUACUUGUGAAGUAUGGAGAUCAAGGCUUAGAUUUAGAUGAUGAGGCAAUUGAUCUAAAAACACAUAGAUUUAAAAAAUGGCAGAGAAUGUGGAGAGGGAAAUAUAGCUUCACUAGAGAGUGCUUCAAAAAGGGGAAGCCCUAGAUUCAGGCCCCAUCGUGGCUGAGAGAGUAGGAGGGAAGUUAUACCAUUCUCUGCCUGCAUAGUCAAAAGAAGGCAGAGACUGGAGCCAACCGUGGUGGUCCGUGCCUACACUUGCAGUACUAAGGAGGCUCUCAAGCUCAAGGCUACCUUGGGCUACAUAGGAAGACCCUAUCCUAAGAAGAAAAGGGACAGAACAGAUGAGUGAGUUUUUAAUAGAUUUCUGAAAACCCACCUCAGCUUUUCCAACCAUGCCUGGAUUUGUCUCUUAAAUAUAAUUCUCACCCUUCACAUUGUUUAUAUCGUGAACUUGCUGACACUCUAUGUAUCAUCAAAUUUAAUCACAAGCGGGACAUUUAUAAUCUUAAAUCAGAAGCAAAUUGUUGGCACAUACCUCCAGUCAACCCCAGAACUAUGCAGACAGAGACUGGCAGAUCUCUGUGAGUUUGACGCCAGCCUGGGCCACAUAGUAAAAACCUGUUUCAAAAAAGGCAAAAGAGAUAAUAUAAGAUUCUGUAUUACGUUCAGAGGCUGGAGACUAGCUCCAUGGCACUUGCCUAACAUUCCCAAGGCCCUGAAUUCAAUCCUUAGCAUUGCAAUUACUAAAUUGAACUGUAGGACCGGGCUUAGUAGUGCAUACCUGGAAUCCUAGCACUUGGGAGGUGGAGGCAGGAGGAUCAGGAGACCAAGUCAGGCUGUCUCCCUUAUGUAUGUAGUCUGAGGUCAGCCUGAGCUACAUAAAGCCCAGUUUCAAAACCUAAUUUUUUCAAUAUUAAUGUAAAAUAUAAGAAGUGAAGAUGAGGGGUGGGGAUUUAGCUCAGUGGUAGAGCGCUCACCUAGCAAGCACAAGGCCCUGCCCUGGGUUCGGUCCCCAGCUCUGGAAAAAAGAAAAAAAAAAAAAAAAAAGAAGUGAAGAUGACAUUAUUUGGUGGGAAAGACAGGAAGGAAGGGAAGGAGAUCUAGGAGAUGGGGAACUUUGUCCUGGGGCCUGGGCCUGUGCCCACAUGGAGAUCAGAAGAUGUUUUUGUAGAAUUACUUCUCUCUGUCUUUCAUGUCCCAGGAAUUAAACUCAGGUUGUCAGGCUUACAAGUGCUUUGCCCAUUGGGCUGUCUCAGAGCCCCAGCAACUAACUGGUAGGAUUCCUUUUUUUUUUUUUAAUGGAUUUAUUUAUUAUAUAUGAAUACACUGUAGCUGUCUUCAGACACACCAGAAGCGCGCAUCAAAUCUUAUUACAGAUGGUUGUGAGCCACCAUGUGGUUGCUGGGAAUUGAACUCAGGACCUCUGGAAGAGCAGUCAGUGCUCUUAACCACUGAGCCAUUUCUCCAGCCCGAGGAUUUCUUGAUCUGAAGGGUAACAUGUGUUCUCUAUGUAAUACUUCAUCAAAGUAUUCAUUUGUGAUUUGAGCAAUAGUCUGUGUGUUAAUGUUUUAAAAAGAAAUUUAAUAUUAGGGGUUGGGGAUUUGGCUCAGCGGUAGAGCACUUGCCUAGCGAGCGCAAGGCCCUGGGUUCGGUCCCCAGCUCUGGAAAAAAAAAAAAAAGAAAAAAAAAAAAAAGAAGAAGAAAAAAAAAAGAAAUUUAAUAUUAACACUGUAGUAACAAACUUAUGAUUAAGCACAGCAAUUUACCUUCAAAAGGUAAGAUUAAAAAAAACAUGAAAUGAAAAUAGCAAGUGAGAAGUUUCCCUUCUCUGGGGUUAAGGUAAGGUUUUCAGAGAGAGCAUUAUUGUGGGUUUUUUUGUUUUUUUUUUUAAAUAUUUAUUUAUUUAUUUACUUAUUUAUAUGUAAGUACACUGUAGCUGUCUUCAGACACACCAGAAGAGGGUAUCAGAUCUCAUUACAGAUGGUUGUGAGCCACCAUGUGGUUGCUGGGAUUUGAACUCAGGACCUCUGGAAGACCAGUCAGUGCUCCUAACCACUGAGCCACCUCUCCAGCCCAUUAUUGUGGGUUUUAUCACUUUUGGUCUCCCUCAGUUUUCUUGUGGACAAGUCAGAGCAAACAGCACAGAGGACUUCAUAAGCACUUCAGAGGAACUCACCAAAUUCUAAAAGGAACAACUUGCUAAGCUAAAGUCGUCUCUGUGCUGAAAUACCACAUUAGUUGUUUAUUGCUAUGUUAAAAGAAAGUUUAAACAAAUGAUUAGUGAUUCUCAGUUGCUCUGAGUAAGAAAAUUAAGAGUGACUUAGCUGUCAAGUUUAGCCUUAGUAUUUUAUUUUUAUUUAUUUAUUUUUAGACAGGGUUUCCCUGUGUAGUCCUGGCUAUCCUAGAACUUAGACCAGGCUGGCCUCUAACUCACAGAGACCCACUCUGCUCUGUUUAGUGCCUGCUGGGAUUAAAGACUUGGGCACCACCUGGUACCUUAGGGUCUUUUAAAGGGUACAGUUGGGCUAGAGAGGUUGCUUACUGGUUAUGAGCACUUGUUGAUCUUAAAACUAACCAUAACUCUAAUUCCAGAGGAUAGAACACUCUUCUGAUAUGCAGGCACAAGGCACACCCAUGGUACACAGGCAGACAAGCACGAAAAACAGUCAUACACAUAAAAAUUUGAAGAAAAAAGAAGUGCUGUAAAUGAAGUCAUAGCAGACUGGAGGAUCAUGGCUGGAUAUCAUGGGACACACAGGGUAGUGCCAAGUUAGCAGGAAGCCUCAGAUCAAAAUGCGGGCUUGUUUAGGGUUCCCUAAGUGUCCCCACAAUACAGCAACUGAUGUUCUCCACACAGAGCUGCUGAUGUGUGAGAAAACAGGCAGAGGUAACAGUGUCUGUUAUGAUAUAGGCUGGGAGGUCAAACUCCAUGAUCUAUGACAAUGCCCUGUUACUAAACAGGCAGCCAUAUUCACUAUGGAUUUGUUUUUCACAAAACAGAAAAGAAAGAACUCUUAGAGACAACUUGGAGUCCAUCGUGUGCCCUUGGCUUCCAAUGAGUCGCUUCUUGUCUCUCUUCUUUUUUUUUUUUUUUUCGGAGCUAGGGACCGAACCCAGGGCCUUGUGCUUGCUGUCUCUCUUCUAAGAGAGUAAAAACUCUGCGUUUCCACAGAGUUUUCUUGCAUUUAAAUGAGAGCAUCACUGGAGAGUAAAAGAUGAUAUUGUCUUCGUUACUGUUCGUUAGACCCAAAGCAGCAUUCUCCAAAGCAAC